UCUCAAUCUAUGGUGAUUAUGCAACUUCACCUUCGGUCAGCUUUAAUCAGGGAGCACUUACUACAGAUGACAGUGAUUUUGCACCUUUGUCUCCAGACUCUACUAACCAAUCACUGAGCAUCACAGCUGGUCCACUCUCAGUCUACAGUGAUUAUGCAACUUCGCCUUCGGUUACCUUUAAUCAGGGUACACCUACUACAG